GCGGGAAUAGCUCAGUUGGUAGAGCACAACUCUUCCAAGGUUGGGGUCGCGGGUUCGAGUCUCGUUUCCCGCU
rnacentral:tRNA from 1 species